GCAGUCGACGAGAAGUCACCUUCGGGUGGCAAGUAAAGUGGCGCACGGGUGAGUAACGCGUGGACAAUCUGCCCUUUGGUCUGGGAUAACCCCGGGAAACUGGAGCUAAUACCAGAUAAGACCACGACGUCUCCGGACGUUGUGGGAAAAGGUGGCCUCUCCUUGGAAGCUGCCGCCAAUUGAUGAGUCCGCGUACCAUUAGCUUGUUGGUGAGGUAACGGCUCACCAAGGCGACGAUGGUUAGCUGAUCUGAGAGGAUGAUCAGCCACACUGGAACUGAGACACGGUCCAGACUCCUACGGGAGGCAGCAGUCGGGAAUCUUGUGCAAUGGGGGAAACCCUGACACAGCAACUCCGCGUGAGGGAUGAAGGCCCUCGGGUCGUAAACCUCUGUCGGGAGGGAAGAAUGCCGCGUCGUGAAUAUCUUCGCGGUUUGACGGUACCUCCAAAGGAAGCACCGGCUAACUCCGUGCCAGCAGCCGCGGUAAUACGGAGGGUGCAAGCGUUGUUCGGAAUUAUUGGGCGUAAAGCGGGCGCAGGCGGUCGUGCAAGUCGGAUGUGAAAUCCCUGGGCUCAACCCAGGAACUGCAUUCGAAACUGUACGACUAGAGUCUCGGAGAGGGUGGCGGAAUUCCCGGUGUAGAGGUGAAAUUCGUAGAUAUCGGGAGGAACACCAGUGGCGAAGGCGGCCACCUGGACGAUGACUGACGCUCAGUCC
rnacentral:rRNA from 1 species